rnacentral:misc_RNA from 1 species
GUAUAAAAUUAAAAUAAGUUCUAAUUAGAGUAGAAAACAUUAAAAAAACUAAAUUUGGAGUUUUAUCUUGCUUAAAUGGGAAGUUUAUCUAAAAUAGAAUUGCUAGGAGGGAUUUUUGGACUGGAAAACAUAAAAUUCUCAUAGCUGGACAGAGGGUCACACGGCCUUCAGCUUGUGGAUCUUCUUUUCACACACUUUAGAGUGUGUGACUAGCAAACUGGUGCACCUGCUUGUGACACACCUCCAAGUGUGUGGUGGGCUGAGGGAACACACCCUUGGGCGUGUUAUACUUUGUUUUCUAAGGAAUUUCCUGCACUUUUAUCCCUCUUUUCUUCCUUUCAUGCUUUCCUUGUUUCUUAAGACCAAUUCCCGCAUCAUACUUCCCCACUUGGAAAAAACUCGUC